GUAUGAUAUAAUAACGUUUGAGCAAAUUGGAACAAUGAUGGCUAAUCUCAUAAAAAUGGGGUGAUGCCUAUGAUUUGGUCUCUACUCCAAGAAAGAAAAAUAGUAUGACCGCGAUUAUGAAAUGCUGAUGGUUGUGCUCACAAUCAUUAGUUUAAGAC
rnacentral:sRNA from 1 species